GUAGGUGGCAAGCGUUGUCCGGGAAUUAUUGGGGCGUAAAGCGCGCGCAGGCGGUUCUUUAAGUCUGAUGUGAAAGCCCACGGGCUCAACCGUGGGAGGGUCAUUGGAAACUGGAGAACUUGAGUGCAGAAGAGGAAAGCGGAAUUCCACGUGUAGCGGUGAAAUGCGUAGAGAUGUGGAGGAACACCAGUGGCGAAGGCGGCUUUCUGGUCUGUAGCUGACGCUGAGGCGCGAAAGCGUGGGGAGCAAACAGGAUAGAUACCCUGGUAGUCCACGCCGUAAACGAUGAGUGCUAAGUGUUAGGGGGUUUCCGCCCCUUAGUGCUGCAGCUUACGCAUUAAGCACUCCGCCUGGGGAGUACGGCCGCAAAGGCUG
rnacentral:rRNA from 1 species